rnacentral:rRNA from 1 species
GAUGAACGCUGGCGGCGUGCCUAAUACAUGCAAGUCGAGCGAACGGACGAGAAGCUUGCUUCUCUGAUGUUAGCGGCGGACGGGGGAGUAACACGUGGAUAACCUACCUAUAAGACUGGGAUAACUUCGGGAAACCGGAGCUAAUACCGGAUAAUAUUUUGAACCGCAUGGGUCAAAAGUGAAAGACGGUCUUGCUGUCACUGAUAGAUGGAUCCGCGCUGCAUUAGCUAGUUGGUAAGGUAACGGCUUACCAAGGCAACGAUGCAUAGCCGACCUGAGAGGGUGAUCGGCCACACUGGAACUGAGACACGGUCCAGACUCCUACGGGAGGCAGCAGUAGGGAAUCUUCCGCAAUGGGCGAAAGCCUGACGGAGCAACGCCGCGUGAGUGAUGAAGGUCUUCGGAUCGUAAAACUCUGUUAUUAGGGAAGAACAUAUGUGUAAGUAACUGUGCACAUCUUGACGGUACCUAAUCAGAAAGCCACGGCUAACUACGUG